CCCGGCGACCGGCGCACGGGUGAGUAACGCGUAUGCAACUUACCUAUCAGAGGGGGAUAACCCGGCGAAAGUCGGACUAAUACCGCAUGAAGCAGGGGCCCCGCAUGGGGAUAUUUGCUAAAGAUUCAUCGCUGAUAGAUAGGCAUGCGUUCCAUUAGGCAGUUGGCGGGGUAACGGCCCACCAAACCGACGAUGGAUAGGGGUUCCGAGAGGAAGGUCCCCCACAUUGGUACUGAGACACGGACCAA
rnacentral:rRNA from 1 species